UACGUAGGGGGCAAGCGUUAUCCGGAAUUACUGGGUGUAAAGGGAGCGUAGACGGCUGUGCAAGUCUGGAGUGAAAGGCGGGGGCCCAACCCCCGGACUGCUCUGGAAACUGUAUGGCUGGAGUGUCGGAGAGGCAGGCGGAAUUCCUAGUGUAGCGGUGAAAUGCGUAGAUAUUAGGAGGAACACCAGUGGCGAAGGCAGCAUGCCGGCUCCACACUGACGCUGAGGCACGAAAGCGUGGGUAUCGAACAGG
rnacentral:rRNA from 1 species